AGAAUACUUUUAUAAUCGACAUUGAUUAAUAACCUUGCAAUCCUUACUAAUAAAUUUUUCUGUUCUUUCUGGAGGUAAUGCUCGAUUAUAAAUCUCCCUAAAACUGAAGAAAUUAGGAAUUAAUUUAAGAACUGAAGAUUAAGAAAUCUAUCUGAUUCAAGACAUUUGUUUCAUACCUCAAUAUUGUUGAUUGAGCUUAUUUGGAUGCUAUCCAUAAAGCAGAAAAUGUAAUUGGUGUACAAGAGUGAAGCACUUGAUCAAUGCUUUCCAGUUUUCAAAGAAGCUACAGUUUCAGGUUCAGCGCUGUGCCACUUACCUGCCAUAUAUGAUGUAUAUCUCAGAAGUCCAAUGAAAAGAAGAAAUUCAAAUCAAUAUACAAAUGGUUGCAAAGUGACAACCAAACAGGAGGCUUUUAGAGUAAACUUGCAGAGGGCAGCUAAGGAGUGCAGUGAAUAG
rnacentral:lncRNA from 1 species